UCUGAGGCUGAAAAUGUGUCUUCGUGGCUUAAAAUAAGCCCAGGCAAAACUUCUCCAUGAACAGAGGGGCAGUUCACACCUCAUCAGGGCAUGUGUGAGACAAACCCAGCCCAGCCUCACAGGAACGAAGGACGCUGGGCUAGGCAGGAACAAAGGCUCUGUUGGACUCUCGGGGGAGUCACCCCCCUUCCUUUGGGCUUUGCCACCUAAACAACCUUCUUCUAACAUUGAUGCAGUUUCGUCACGAGAUUGGCCAUUUCUCCAGGAUGACCUUGUCGUUAAGCCAUUGGACUCAGGAGUUCUGGGUGCCGUUCCUGGCUUUGCCGCAGACGCCUGGGUGACCUUGGGAAUUAAUUGUCCCCGACGAAGGUACUUGCGAGAGGAAAUGGAAGCAGCAGCAGGGGGUUCCAGACGAAAUAUAUUCCCUUUAAUUUUCGUCGAUGACGCUCCGGGCCAGUGGAGAUGUGUAAAUAAGUCCAAUAUUGGAGAUUAAUGGGCGUUUAGCCUUGUGAAAUUAACAACACUCCAGCAAAUCUACAAA